rnacentral:rRNA from 1 species
UACGGAGGGGGGCUAGCGUUGUUCGGAAUUACUGGGCGUAAAGCGUACGUAGGCGGCUUUGUAAGUUUAGAGGUGAAAGCCCGGGGCUCAACCCCGGAAUUGCCUUUAAGACUGCAUCGCUUGAACGUCGGAGAGGUGAGUGGAAUUCCGAGUGUAGAGGUGAAAUUCGUAGAUAUUCGGAAGAACACCAGUGGCGAAGGCGGCUCACUGGACGACUGUUGACGCUGAGGUACGAAAGCGUGGGGAGCAAACAGG